rnacentral:sRNA from 1 species
CACUGAUUGGCCAUAGCACCCAGUUUCAUGUAUUUGAAUUGACAAGACAGCUCCCUCGAUUCUCCAUGUAUGCGCUGACCAGCCUGGACCCUGCCAGUGAGCCAAUCAGUUAUGUUAACUUUACCAUUGCAGAACGGGCACAGAGGUAAAACUAGAAAGAAGGAGAACUCUUCCCUCAAGAAUGGCUGUACCUUCAUAUCCAGAGGCAUAUUAAAAAAAAAGAAUGUCUGUACCUUAAAAAUGGAGGUCAUUUCAUUGUGUUCAUUUUUAAGGUUGUCGUAUGGCUCAGUCAGAACUUUCUGUUACCAGAAGACACUCACAUUCAGAAUGCUCCAUUUCAAGUGUGUUUCA